AUUGAACGCUGGCGGCAGGCCUAACACAUGCAAGUCGAGCGGAUGAGGGGAGCUUGCUCCCUGAUUUAGCGGCGGACGGGUGAGUAAUGCCUAGGAAUCUGCCUGGUAGUGGGGGAUAACGUUCCGAAAGGAACGCUAAUACCGCAUACGUCCUACGGGAGAAAGCAGGGGACCUUCGGGCCUUGCGCUAUCAGAUGAGCCUAGGUCGGAUUAGCUAGUUGGUGAGGUAAUGGCUCACCAAGGCGACGAUCCGUAACUGGUCUGAGAGGAUGAUCAGUCACACUGGAACUGAGACACGGUCCAGACUCCUACGGGAGGCAGCAGUGGGGAAUAUUGGACAAUGGGCGAAAGCCUGAUCCAGCCAUGCCGCGUGUGUGAAGAAGGUCUUCGGAUUGUAAAGCACUUUAAGUUGGGAGGAAGGGCAUUAACCUAAUACGUUAGUGUUUUGACGUUACCGACAGAAUAAGCACCGGCUAACUUCGUGCCAGCAGCCGCGGUAAUACGAAGGGUGCAAGCGUUAAUCGGAAUUACUGGGCGUAAAGCGCGCGUAGGUGGUUCGUUAAGUUGGAUGUGAAAGCCCCGGGCUCAACCUGGGAACUGCAUCCAAAACUGGCGAGCUAGAGUACGGUAGAGGGUGGUGGAAUUUCCUGUGUAGCGGUGAAAUGCGUAGAUAUAGGAAGGAACACCAGUGGCGAAGGCGACCACCUGGACUGAUACUGACACUGAGGUGCGAAAGCGUGGGGAGCAAACAGG
rnacentral:rRNA from 1 species